UACAGAGGUCCCAAGCGUUGUUCGGAUUCACUGGGCGUAAAGGGUGCGUAGGCGGUCGGGUAAGUCUGAUGUGAAAUCUCACAGCUUAACUGUGAAACUGCAUUGGAUACUAUCCGGCUCGAGGAAUGGAGGGGAGACUGGAAUACUUGGUGUAGCAGUGAAAUGCGUAGAUAUCAAGUGGAACACCAGUGGCGAAGGCGAGUCUUUAGACAUUUCCUGACGCUGAGGCACGAAAGCCAGGGGAGCAAACGGG
rnacentral:rRNA from 1 species